GACGAACGCUGGCGGCGUGCUUAACACAUGCAAGUCGAACGGAAAGGCCCUGCUUGCAGGGUACUCGAGUGGCGAACGGGUGAGUAACACGUGGGUGAUCUGCCCUGCACUUCGGGAUAAGCCUGGGAAACUGGGUCUAAUACCGGAUAGGAGCCAUUUUUAGUGUGAUGGUUGGAAAGUUUUUUCGGUGUAGGAUGAGCUCGCGGCCUAUCAGCUUGUUGGUGGGGUAAUGGCCUACCAAGGCGGCGACGGGUAGCCGGCCUGAGAGGGUGGACGGCCACAUUGGGACUGAGAUACGGCCCAGACUCCUACGGGAGGCAGCAGUGGGGAAUAUUGCACAAUGGGCGCAAGCCUGAUGCAGCGACGCCGCGUGGGGGAUGACGGCCUUCGUGUUGUAAACUCCUUUCGCUAGGGACGAAGCUUUUCGUGACGGUACCUAGAUAAGAAGCACCGGCUAACUACGUG
rnacentral:rRNA from 1 species